CCUGCGGGUGGCAGCAGUGAGGAAUAUUGGUCAAUGGGCGUAAGCCUGAACCAGCCAAGUCGCGUGAGGGAUGAAGGUUCUAUGGUUCGUAAACCUCUUUUACAAGGGAAUAAAGUGUGGGACGUGUCCUAUUUUGUAUGUACCUUAUGAAUAAGGAUCGGCUAACUCCGUGCCAGCAGCCGCGGUAAUACGGAGGAUCCGAGCGUUAUCCGGAUUUAUGGGGUUUAAAGGGUGCGUAGGCGGCCUUUUAAGUCAGCGGUGAAAGUCUGUGGCUCAACCAUAGAAUUGCCGUUGAAACUGGGGGGCUUGAGUAUGUUUGAGGCAGGCGGAAUGCGUGGUGUAGCGGUGAAAUGCUUAGAUAUCACGCAGAACCCCGAUUGCGAAGGCAGCCUGCCGAGCCAUGACUGACGCUGAUGCACGAAAGCGUGGGGAUCAAACAGGAUUAGAUACCCUAGUAGUC
rnacentral:rRNA from 1 species